ACGAAUGGGAUGAGCGCCCCAACAAAAGAGACCGCACAGAGCUCUCUUGUGCUCCUUCCACCACAUGAGGACAUAGCUAGAAGACGACUGUAAUGAAAGAGAAAGUGGACUCUUACCAGACGUUGAAUCACCAGGCACAUUGAUCUUGGACUUCCCAGCCUCCAGAACAAUGUCCCCAAAGACCCCCUCUAUCUUCUUGAAGAACUGUAGCUUUUUAAGGAGAAACAAUCGCCUCUCCUGAAAUGCUUUCUACUACCUCAGGAGCCAUCCGGCAGCGCAGAAAGAAUUAUUAAAAGAUCAGAUCUGUUGAAGAUCUUAAUUAGAAAAGCUGUAGUGUUCAAGGGUUCAAGAUCAUCGUGCCAAUCUGCAUCUAGCUGGCAGAAGGGGAACGAGAAUGGAGUUUCAUGCAUGGAAGUUUCACCGGCCAGGUCCUGAAGUGGUACGCAUCAUUUCUGCUCACCUUCCAUCAGCCAGCACUCACUUAUAGGGUCUCUGUUAAUUGCAAAAUUGGCGGGUAAAUGUCAUUUACCUGUGUGUCCAGGAAAAAAAGAAAAGAAAAGAUGCCUGGGGAAUAAUGACCAGCUUUGCCACACCUGUUAUUGUUUGUUUUUCUCCCAAUAUACAUCUAUUAAAAAAUGAG